UUCCAAAUAUGGUUAGGGUCAAUUGUAUUUGUACAAUUCGAUUAUAUAAUUUUUAUGAAAGAGGUCACUCUGUUUAUAUCGGCCAUUCGAUUAUAUAAUUUUUAUGAAAGAGGUCACUCUGUUUAUAUCGGCCACGUAAACAAUCGUGUAUUGGAAAUUUGAAGUAGAUAAACAUAUUAAUUAAAUGGACAGAGAAAUUGAUUAUUAGCGCUAUAAAAGUUAAUGAUUAAUUCUAACAACAUAU
rnacentral:lncRNA from 1 species